rnacentral:rRNA from 1 species
ACUCAAAGGAAUUGACGGGGGCCCGCACAAGCGGUGGAGCAUGUGGUUUAAUUCGAUGCAACGCGAAGAACCUUACCAAGAUUUGACAUGGAAAUGACAGACCUAGAGAUAGGUACUCCCUUCGGGGCAUUUCACACAGGUGGUGCAUGGUUGUCGUCAGCUCGUGUCGUGAGAUGUUGGGUUAAGUCCCGCAACGAGCGCAACCCUUACCCUUAGUAGCUACCGGGUGAAGCCGGGCACUCUAAGGGGACUGCCGUGGAUAACACGGAGGAAGGCGGGGAUGAGGUCAAAUCAUCAUGCCCUUUAUGUCUUGGGCAACACACGUGCUACAAUGGCUACAACAAAGUGAAGCAAGCUAGUGAUAGCAAGCCAACCACAAAAAAGUAGUCUCAGUUCGGAUUGAAGUCUGCAACUCGACUUCAUGAAGCUGGAAUCGCUAGUAAUCGCGGAUCAGCAUGCCGCGGUGAAUACGUUCCCGGGCCUUGCACACACCGCCCGU